UGGGUCCUUGACCAAAUUGUUGAUUCGGCACGUGACUGUACUUGCCACUCAGAGAUUAGCCAUGGAGAUCACUUAGCCUGUAAGGAACUCUAGGUCUAGCUGCAGUGGCCGUGUUGUUGUAGAAUCACUGCUAAUACUCAGAGAAAAUUGGCCAGCUUAGUCCCUGUGAGCAAGCAUUAUAACUCCUCCAUACCUGUUUCCUCAUCUAUAAUAUUCAAAUAAGAGUAGUAUGUGCCUCAUAGGUGAUGUAAAGCCCCUGGAACAGUGUCUGUUCCAUAGAAAUUCUUUGAGUGUUAGUUACAUCACUACUCCCCAUUUUCUCCCUUCCCUGCCUGCCCCCUCGGACAGGAUGAAGAAGGCCCCCUGUGUUGCCCCCACCCUGGCUGCUCCCUAAGGGCCCACAUGACCUGCCUGGCAGACGAGUUCCUGCAGGAGGAGCCCGGGCAGCUUCUGCCCCUAGAGGGCCGAUGCCCUGGCUGCAAGAACUCACUGCUGUGGGGAGACCUGAUCCGGCUGUGCCGGAUGGGCUCCGAGGAGGAAGAGGAGAACUUGGAAUUAGAAGAGGAACACUGGACAGACAUGCUAGAGAUCUGACCCUCGGCACCCCUAGCCCUCUACCCAUUCCUUAUCCGUGCCACUGCCUUCGGGUCUCGGCAAUUUUUACUUGAGUACAAUAAAAAGUCUGAGUUAAGGGCA